rfam:Mus musculus chromosome 19, GRC primary reference assembly.
GAACUCGAGAGGUAUCUGUCUGUGACAUCUGUCACUCCAUGGAUUACUGGGGUUGAUGCAGCCAGUCUGGUUCUUUAGGCUGGUGUCUUCUUCCUCUCUCAAUGUCUCAUUUUUAUCUUUCCCAAAGCUGUGAACUCUAUGGCAGGUGGAAGAGGAUGAUGUUGCCCAAGGAUGGUCUUCCCAAACAGGAGAAGGAGAGACCUUCAAGUCAAGGGUACACCAGUAGCUGUACUCCCAUGCUAAAACCUCCAAAUAAGUUCUCAAAUUCCAAAUAUAGGUACAAAAUUAAUCACUUAUGUAAAGCAGAUUUGUUUUCUUGAUUAUGUCUUUAUAU